GCCAUCACCAUUUUGAUAUCGUAUUGUGAAAGCCAAAUUUCGUCGGCCCGGGCCAAAACGAAAAAACCGAAAGAAAAAAUACAAACAGAAAAAAUAAUUAAAGUCCAAUAAUAAAAAACAACAACAGUCCAUUUACAAUAGCCCAAUUUUUCAAAAGCCCGAAAUAAAAAACCUAAUGGCCCGUCAGGCCCAAAACCUUUACCAUUUUCAGAAAAAAUAAAAACCCUAGCGCCGCACCCUAGUGCCGCCGCCGCUCCUAGCCUCGGCCACCAUCAACCGCUCCUCAAACAAACAAAGCAAUCGAAAUGCAAAAUCGAAAAAACUUCAAAGUGGCCGAAGGGUUCUUUGCCUUUUUGGUGAUUUUUUGGCCAGUUUCUAAAAAAACCGACCCUAAAUUCGAACUCAGGGAGCCGAAACGACCAAAAAGGAGGUUUCUUUUGUACCCACGGCGGAGACUUUAAGAUAUUUUACAGAAGCUGAAAUGGAGCUUGGGAAGUGCGAUGGUGUUGCAGUGAAGAAGGGCCUCUGUAAUGGAGUUUGGGGAGAGUGCGCUAGGAUGGGGAUGGUGCUGCCGUGAAGAAGAUGCAAGAAAGGGGAAAAUAUUUAUGGAUGGUGAGGAGUUUGAUCGGGUAGAAAGAGAUGAAAGAAAAAACUUGGAGAAAGAAGUUCAAACUAAUAUUUACUUUUAAUUUUUAUUUUUCGGUCAAAACGAAGAAGGAAUGCCACAUGGCAUUUUUUAUUCAUUAAAGAUUAAUUUUAGCGGAUUGGUUUGAUAUUAUUGUCAAUGAAAAAAAUGUAGA